rnacentral:misc_RNA from 1 species
GAUGAAGAACGCAGCGAAAUGCGAUAAGUAAUGUGAAUUGCAGAAUUCAGUGAAUCAUCGAAUCUUUGAACGCACAUUGCGCCCGCCAGUAUUCUGGCGGGCAUGCCUGUUCGAGCGUCAUUUCCACCAUCAGGCCCCCGGGCCUGUGUUGGGGACCUGCGGCUGCCCGCAGGCCCCGAAAUUCAGUGGCGGUCGCGCCGUAGCAACCGAGCGUAGUAACUAAAACGUCUCGCUCUGGCUCGCUGGGCGCGCUCCGGCCGUAAAACACCCCCACUUUUCGCAAAGGUUGACCUCGGAUCAGGUAGGAAUACCCGCUGAACUUAAGCAUAUCAAUAAGCGGAGGA